rnacentral:rRNA from 1 species
AGUGAACGCUGGCGGUAGGCCUAACACAUGCAAGUCGAACGGCAGCACAGUAAGAGCUUGCUCUUACGGGUGGCGAGUGGCGGACGGGUGAGGAAUACAUCGGAAUCUACUUUUUCGUGGGGGAUAAUGUAGGGAAACUUACGCUAAUACCGCAUACGACCUACGGGUGAAAGCAGGGGAUCUUCGGACCUUGUGCGAUUGAAUGAGCCGAUGUCGGAUUAGCUAGUUGGCGGGGUAAAGGCCCACCAAGGCGACGAUCCGUAGCUGGUCUGAGAGGAUGAUCAGCCACACUGGAACUGAGACACGGUCCAGACUCCUACGGGAGGCAGCAGUGGGGAAUAUUGGACAAUGGGCGCAAGCCUGAUCCAGCCAUACCGCGUGGGUGAAGAAGGCCUUCGGGUUGUAAAGCCCUUUUGUUGGGAAAGAAAAGCAGCAGGUUAAUACCCCGCUGUUCUGACGGUACCCAAAGAAUAAGCACCGGCUAACUUCGUG